rnacentral:rRNA from 1 species
CCUGAAUGCACCCAAUCUCAUCUGAGCUCAGAAGCUAAGCAGG